rnacentral:lncRNA from 1 species
GAAUCACGUGACAUAUGUUGGGAGUGAACUCGUGUUCAUUCAGUAGGCAGUCAGUAAAGCACGAGGAAGGACGCAAAGCGAAGAAGGACACAAAGCGGAGAAGAAAGGCUGGGCUGAUGAGUCUGAUUGGUUAUCUAAGCCUUCUUCAUAACCCAAGUUUGUUGUGAUGUCUGUCAUCAUUCCAGUUGACUCACAGUGGUGAACUUUAUAACAGCUGUCAGAAUGGGAACCAGAACAAUUACCUCAGUGAAAGCCAAGACAUUUUCAUUGUUCAACAAACCAAUGCUAAUCAUGUGAUGCUUGUUGAGAGUGCAUGUUCAUUCAGCAGACUGUCGGUAAAGGACCAAAAAAAAAAAAAAAACGAACACAAAGCAAGGAAGGAAGGCUUGAGAGCAGAGAUUUUCAUUAUUUCCAUGCAUGGAAACUGAAAUGAUGAUGAUUCUUGUGUAGAGAUCUAGAUGCUUUGUUCCCAAGGUGAUGUGAAAUGGUGGGAAGUGUUCCUUCACUCUACUAAACAAAUACUGCAUGGAUCUUCAGUAUCUUCAGUUAGUACCGGAACUGUGAUGACACUGAGGAAAUAUUCUACAAUCUUCACCAUGGUUAUGGUUGAAUAGGGAUUCCUACAUAGCAAUUGCUAUUGCAUUGUGUAAUGCCAGCAUGUAUGUUUUUCUAAGCAAGCGACAGUGUGUCAAGGUGGAAGCUGUGCAUCUGGACAGGAUAAGAGUGGUUGUAUUCCAAUGGCUGUAAGCAUGAAAUCACCUGGCCUUGUGCGGAAGACAUCUAUGAAUCGACCAACCAGAUGUAUACCUCUAAUUUAAACUCCUGAAAGUCCCCAUGGUUGUGGGUGGUGCAGACAGAAUGUGAGCCAGGAAGUACAUCUGUAAAAGCCCAGACAUUCCAUAUGUAGGAGUACCUUCAUUCUUCAAUUGCAUCUUAGCUAAGAAGUUAAGUUGGAUCUGCUUCACAGGGAGUCAUUGAUGAUCAACUAAGUAGUAGGAUACAGUUUUCUGAUCAGAUGAAAUCACUUUAUCUUAUCUGGCUGGAAUUUAAAGAGCUGAGACUACCAUCAGGAAAAUCUACCAUGUAGUAACACUAACCCAGAACAUUGCUACUGAGUCUACCACACAGUAAUGCUGACUAGAAAAUUGCUAUUGACUCUACCACACAGUAAUGCUGACUAGGAAAUUGCUAUUGAGUCUACCACACAGUAAUGCUGACUAGGAAAUGGCUAUUGAGUCUACCACACCGUAACACGAACCCAGAGCAUUGCUACUAUGUCUUCUAUACAGUAACGUUUAUUCAGAACAUUGCUACUGAGUCUACCACACAGUAAUGUGGACAAGGACAUUGCUGUUAUGAGUUUCCAUGUAGUAACACUUGACUGGAGUAGUCCACACAGGAAAAACACACAGUAACAUUGACUUAGGAUGUUGCUACAGAGUAUUCCACACUGUAAUACUGACCCCAAAGUGUAGCUUUUCUAUGGAAAAUUCAGACAGAUAACUGAAGUUACCUGUCAGUAGGGGCAAUAAAAUCUUUAUUAUCCGUUUAUGUUAACACUCCUGAUAUUGAAGGCUCAGGACUCUGCUGAACACUGGAAAAAAAGCGGAGAUAAACAUGCAACUCACUGUGUGUGACAUUAGCGCAAUUUUUUUUUAAAUGUGAUCAUGAUAUAUAGACAUUAAAAUUAUUUUAAGUAACAUUCAAGUAAUGGUCAAAGGUGGUAGUGAAAAGUAACUGAAUGUGACAUCAAAGUUUAGAUGACUGAAAAAGAAAGACAGUUAUACCUGCUGGUAAAAAUCUAUAAGAUUAGAUAUUAAAAUAAUGUUUAAAAAUGACAGUAGGUACAGUAAAAUGUGAAUGUGGUUUGAUUGGUAAUGUCAAAUAAUAAAGGGUAACUCGUUGUUCA